rnacentral:rRNA from 1 species
AUUGAACGCUGGCGGCAUGCCUUACACAUGCAAGUCGAACGGCAGCACGGGAGCAAUCCUGGUGGCGAGUGGCGAACGGGUGAGUAAUAUAUCGGAACGUGCCCAGUCGUGGGGAUAACGUAGCGAAAGCUACGCUAAUACCGCAUACGAUCUAUGGAUGAAAGCGGGGGAUCGCAAGACCUCGCGCGAUUGGAGCGGCCGAUAUCAGAUUAGGUAGUUGGUGAGGUAAAGGCUCACCAAGCCGACGAUCUGUAGCUGGUCUGAGAGGACGACUAGCCACACUGGGACUGAGACACGGCCCAGACUCCUACGGGAGGCAGCAGUGGGGAAUUUUGGACAAUGGGCGCAAGCCUGAUCCAGCAAUGCCGCGUGCAGG